UCUAAGUCUUCUUUUUCAAUCUCAAAAUUCAAAUCUUUACUUACUAUUAAAGGAGAGUUCCUGCUGAAUCGGAAAAGCUUAUGUGUCGAACACAUAGCUAUGCCAACUCAACUUUCCUUACUUCAUUAUUACAUCAUAAAUCACGUUCAUUUAUUUAAAAAAAUUCAUCUCAUUUAUAUAAAAUAGCUUCAAUUAAAUUAACCUUUUUAUUUGAAUUUCAAAAUUCAAAAUUCAAAUUGUGGGUUAUUAGAAAGGGGCUCAAUUAAUGUUUGCAGGUAUAUAGUACUAUGAUGUAUGUUUCUAUCAUAUAUAACUCAAUCAUCUUCCCUCCUUUCCUCCAGACUCUCUUUUCAUCUUCAACUUUCCCUCUCCCUGAACAAAUUAGUAUCCUCCUGUUUUCCGAGUUCAUCACAAUCAUACUCAUUCUCAGAAUCAUGCACGGUCCUGGAGAGCAUCACACUCUCAGUUAUGUUGCCGAUUUGAACCCUACAAAAGAUAUGUGGAACAUGAAGGCGUGAAUCAUCUGAAAAUGGAAUCAAGGUUUUAAUAUGGAGUUGAUUUUGAUCGACGAGAAGGUAAUGUAUAUGCAUCUCUUCUGUUAUUCUAUAUCACUAUAUCAUGCGAUUGAGGAUACUAAUUAUUUGUCAUAUCGAUUUGUAGUUCCUUACAAUAUCUGUUAAUCUCGCUUUGCAUUGUUUGUAUGUUUGUGCCCUAAAAGUUAUUUUGUUCAACUUUUGUCCAAGGUGUUAAGAUUCAAGCUGGUAUUAAGAGUCACUUGAUCCUUGUUUUUGACCGCCAACUUGAAGAGGAUGAUGUCGUUAUUAUCUCGAAAUUCGGUGUUGGUGAAAACAAGGUCCCAUACAAAGUUGCAACAUAUGUGUUCGAGAUUGGCAAGAUUUACGAUGUACCAUAUGGAAUGAGUAUGCUCAAUAAUUCCAGGACUUCAUUUCUAAAAACACUUCUAACAUGUCAUGGCUGUUAUCCAACAUGCAAAGAUCAAGGAAAGCAAGGGUAAUUUCUAUUAUUUUAUAUCUUUCUUAAUUAUACACUAUUAUUAAAAGUUUAGUUAUAAUUUGAUUACAUCUUGGUUUUAUUAUGCACGCAUCAUGACCGCAUAAUGCGCGUAUCAUAAAAAGAGUCUAUUUUGGGACCUGAUGCAGAUGCCGGUGGUUGAACAAUUUUCAGAUCAAUUGACAAUUCAAAGUGAUAAGUUUGGAACCCGGCUGUUUCUAAAUCAAGACAUCGAUGAAGUUAGUCAGCUAAGGAGAGUCUUAUACUGAAACAAGGAUUAGGAUAUGGUUCUGCUUCUCAAACAAUACUUUCAUCUCAGACCGUUUACCCAUUACGUCAAGAAUUAAUAAUAGACACCGUAAACAAACAUGUUGACGAGAUUCGGGAGACAUAAAAGGAAAUGUUUUGUGUUGUGGUUGGGACAAUAAAAAUUGUGCAAGAAGGUUAUGGUUGGUUCUACGCUGCCUGUCGCAAGUAGGGUUGUAAACGAACUGAACGUUCAGCGAACAGUUCGUGAACCGUUCGGCGGAAAGUUCGUUUACGUUCGUUUGUUUAACUAAUGAAUAAACAUGAAUAAGAAAUUUCGUCCGGUUAGUUAAAUGAACGAACACGAACAAAUGUCUCGUUCGUUCAAUAGCGUUCGUGAACGUUCGAUAAUGUGUUCGUGAACAUUGGUUCAUGUUCGUUUAUUUAUGCUAUUCAUUAAA